UUUAAAGGCCGCAGUAUUUUGACUGUGCAAAGGUAGCAUAAUCAUUAGGUUUUUAAUUGGAAUCUAGAAUGAAUGAUUAAAUGAGAUAAAAUCUUUUUUAGUUUUAAUAUUUGAAUUUUAUUUAUUAGUUAAAAAGCUGAUUUUUAAAAUAGGGACGAGAAGACCCUAUAGAAUUUUAUAAAUUUUUGAUUAAUUUUUUAUUAUUAUUUUAUUUUAUUAUUAUAAAUUUUAUUUUGUUGGGGAGAUAGUUAAAUUUUUUAAACUUUUAUUUUUAAAUUCAUAAAUAAAUGUAUUUUUGAUCUUUUUUUAUUGAUUAAAAAUUUAAAUUACCUUAGGGAUAACAGCAUAAUAUUUUUAAGAAGUUCUUAUUUUUAAAAAAGUUUAUGACCUCGAUGUUGAAUUAAAAAUAUUGUUAUAUGAAGAAAUAUAAUUAAUAAGUCUGUUCGACUUUUAAAUUUUUACAUGAUUUGAGUUCAAAUCGGUGUGAGCCAGGUCGGUUUCUAUCU
rnacentral:rRNA from 1 species